UACGGAGGGUGCAAGCGUUAUCCGGAUUCACUGGGUUUAAAGGGUGCGUAGGUGGGUCUGUAAGUCAGUGGUGAAAUCUCCGAGCUUAACUUGGAAACUGCCAUUGAUACUAUAGGUCUUGAAUACUGUGGAGGUCAGCGGAAUAUGUCAUGUAGCGGUGAAAUGCUUAGAUAUGACAUAGAACACCAAUUGCGAAGGCAGCUGGCUACACAAAUAUUGACACUGAGGCACGAAAGCGUGGGGAGCAAACAGG
rnacentral:rRNA from 1 species